rnacentral:lncRNA from 1 species
CUGAGCCGCCAGGAGGAGAAGGCCGACGCCGUGCGCGCGCGCGCACGCACGCACCGUCCCAGGGCACCUCCGGCCCGGGUCCCAGAGGAUGACUGAGCCCGAGCCUGGGCGCCCUCGCUUGAGAACGCCAUCCCGGGAAGAGCCCCCGCAGGUGCACGCGCCGGCGCCCUGCUGUCCCACCCUCGGGGAAGGCCCCUCGGAUGCCCUCUCUGGGGUGAUUCUGGGGGAAUCCGAAGGCACACAGCUUCGGGGCAAUCCCUUCUCGUCCCCUCAGUAACUCUAGCAAACUCGGGGAUAAUUUGAUUAAAGUAGGCAGGAACUGAGUUACAGAGCACUCUGCAGUCGUAAACAAGGUUCACAAAGGGUCCUGGGGAAGCAGCCUUGGAGACCACAACCAGCAGCCUGGAGAUGUUUGCAAAUAAAAUGCUGGGAACCCAGCAAGGGCUGUAGCGAAUAUAAUGUAUGUAAAUGUAAAACACACACACACAAUAAAUCUUAUAAAACUGCAGAUAUGCUCAAGGAUAAAUAUCUUCCACAUUGAUGUCGGAGAGACAGGGGUGUGUGCUGGGUGAGGAGAAGGGGAAGAGGGAGGGGGAAGAAAGGGGGGGAGAGAAGGGAGGGGAGGAACCAAUUCACUCUGCUAAUGACGACAGCAGAUUCCGACUUGAAGAACAUGAUGGCUCCCUGGACCUAAAGUUCCAUAACAAAAGUUUUUAGAACAGGAAAACAAGCCCUGGUGUAAUCCUCCCAUUUCAUGGAUGGAGAAACUGAGGCUCAGAAGGAGCAGCUGUUUGCCACAGCUUGAAGUGGAGGGGUGGAUCCCUGCCGGCCCCACUCCUUCCCUCCUCAGAGCAGCUCCCUACCCUGCUGGAGGACCAUGGCCUUGCCGGACGCUGGCUGACUGGCUCACCCUCCCUCUCCCGGCUGCCUGGCUCCUGGCAAGGCGUGGGGUGGCCAAGCAUCCUGGCUUUUCUUGGAACCGAGGGGGUUCCUUGGAGGAAAACCAGCUCUUGGUAGCUUCCUCCUUACAAACCACCGUGGCCGAUUUCGGAGCCUGCAGAGACUGCUUCCAGAUGCCUCGCCUCGCUGCUGCUGCUGCCUCGCUUUCACUUCCAAGGAGAAGGUCACAGCCCAAGACUUCUCCUCUCCCAUAAUGAAGCCAGUUCUCUCCAGACCACGGCCUCUUCAUUUCCAAAUUAAAAAGAGGUGAGUAGGGGCCCCCACUGUGGUGUAGCAGGUUAAGCUCACACCUGCAGUGCCGGCAUCCCAUAUGGGCACCGGUUCGUGACCUGGCUGCUCCAUUUCCCAUCCAGCUCUCUGCUAUGGCGUGGGAAAGCAGUAGAAGAUGGCCUGAGUGCUUGGGCCCCUGCACCCACGUGGGAGACCUGGAGGAAGCUCCUGGCUCCUGGCUUCAGAUCAGCCCAGCUCUGGCCAUUUGGGGAGAGAGCCAGCAGAUGGAAGAUCUCUCUCUCUGUUUCUCCCUCUCUCUCUCUGUAACUUUGCCUCUCUCAAAUAAAUGAGAGAGAGAGAGAGAGACUGGCGCCA